rnacentral:ncRNA from 1 species
ACAACGGAUUUCUUAAAAUCCAUAUCUAUUAUCUUAUCAGAGAAU